rnacentral:rRNA from 1 species
ACGAACGCUGGCGGCGUGCCUAAUACAUGCAAGUAGAACGCACAGUUUAUACCGUAGCUUGCUACACCAUAGACUGUGAGUUGCGAACGGGUGAGUAACGCGUAGGUAACCUGCCUGGUAGCGGGGGAUAACUAUUGGAAACGAUAGCUAAUACCGCAUAAUAUUAAUUAUUGCAUGAUAAUUAAUUGAAAGGUGCAAUUGCACCACUACCAGAUGGACCUGCGUUGUAUUAGCUAGUAGGUGAGGUAACGGCUCACCUAGGCGACGAUACAUAGCCGACCUGAGAGGGUGAUCGGCCACACUGGGACUGAGACACGGCCCAGACUCCUACGGGAGGCAGCAGUAGGGAAUCUUCGGCAAUGGACGAAAGUCUGACCGAGCAACGCCGCGUGAGUGAAGAAGGUUGUCGGAUCGUAAAGCUCUGUUGUAAGAGAAGAACGGGUGUGAGAGUGGAAAGUUCACACUGUGACGGUAUCUUACCAGAAAGGGACGGCUAACUACGUG